GCAGUCGAACGGAAUGCUUCGGCAUUUAGUGGCGGACGGGUGAGUAACGCGUGAGAAUCUGGCUUUAGGUUCGGGACAACAGUGGGAAACUGCUGCUAAUACCGGAUGUGCCGAAGGGUGAAAGAUUAAUUGCCUGAAGAAGAGCUCGCGUCUGAUUAGCUAGUUGGUGAGGUAAAGGCUCACCAAGGCGACGAUCAGUAACUGGUCUGAGAGGAUGACCAGUCACACUGGGACUGAGACACGGCCCAGACUCCUACGGGAGGCAGCAGUGGGGAAUUUUCCGCAAUGGGCGAAAGCCUGACGGAGCAAUACCGCGUGAGGGAGGAGGGCUCUUGGGUUGUAAACCUCUUUUCUCAGGGAAGAACAAAAUGACGGUACCUGAGGAAUAAGCAUCGGCUAACUCCGUGCCAGCAGCCGCGGUAAUACGGAGGAUGCAAGCGUUAUCCGGAAUUAUUGGGCGUAAAGCGUCCGCAGGUGGCAAUUCAAGUCUGCUGUUAAAGGUUCUGGCUCAACCAGAGACAGGCAGUGGAAACUGAAUAGCUAGAGUGCGGUAGGGGCAGAGGGAAUUCCCAGUGUAGCGGUGAAAUGCGUAGAGAUUGGGAAGAACACCGGUGGCGAAAGCGCUCUGCUAGGCCGUAACUGACACUCAUGGACGAAAGCUAGGGGAGCGAAUGGGAUUAGAUACCCCAGUAGUCCUAGCCGUAAACGAUGGAUACUAGGCGUUGCUCGCAUCGACC
rnacentral:rRNA from 1 species